UACGAGGGGUGCGAGCGUUGCUCGGAAUUAUUGGGCGUAAAGGGUAGGUAGGUGGUUUCAUUUGUCUGGGGUGAAAGCCUUGGGCUUAACUCAAGAAGUGCCCCGGAAACGGUGAAACUCGAGUACUGGAGAGGGUCGUGGAAUUCCCGGUGUAGCGGUGAAAUGCGUAGAGAUCGGGAGGAACACCAGAGGCGAAGGCGGCGACCUGGACAGUUACUGACACUCAACUACGAAAGCGUGGGGAGCAAACAGG
rnacentral:rRNA from 1 species